AGUGAACGCUGGCGGUAGGCCUAACACAUGCAAGUCGAACGGCAGCACAGUAAGAGCUUGCUCUUACGGGUGGCGAGUGGCGGACGGGUGAGGAAUACAUCGGAAUCUACUUUUUCGUGGGGGAUAACGUAGGGAAACUUACGCUAAUACCGCAUACGACCUACGGGUGAAAGCAGGGGAUCUUCGGACCUUGCGCGAUUGAAUGAGCCGAUGUCGGAUUAGCUAGUUGGCGGGGUAAAGGCCCACCAAGGCGACGAUCCGUAGCUGGUCUGAGAGGAUGAUCGGCCACACUGGAACUGAGACACGGUCCAGACUCCUACGGGAGGCAGCAGUAGGGAAUAUUGCGCAAUGGGCGCAAGCCUGAUCCAGCCAUACCGCGUGGGUGAAGAAGGCCUUCGGGUUGUAAAGCCCUUUUGUUAGGGAAGAAAAACUGCAGAAUUAUACCCCGAUGUUCUGACGGUACCCAAAGAAUAAGCACCGGCUAACUUCGUG
rnacentral:rRNA from 1 species